rnacentral:rRNA from 1 species
CAUGCAAGUCGAGGGGAAACGACAUCGAAAGCUUGCUUUUGAUGGGCGUCGACCGGCGCACGGGUGAGUAACGCGUAUCCAACCUGCCCACCACUUGGGGAUAACCUUGCGAAAGUAAGACUAAUACCCAAUGACGUCUCUAGAAGACAUCUGAAGGAGAUUAAAGAUUUAUCGGUGAUGGAUGGGGAUGCGUCUGAUUAGCUUGUUGGCGGGGUAACGGCCCACCAAGGCGACGAUCAGUAGGGGUUCUGAGAGGAAGGUCCCCCACAUUGGAACUGAGACACGGUCCAAACUCCUACGGGAGGCAGCAGUGAGGAAUAUUGGUCAAUGGACGAGAGUCUGAACCAGCCAAGUAGCGUGCAGGAUGACGGCCCUAUGGGUUGUAAACUGCUUUUAUAAGGGAAUAAAGUGAGUCUCGUGAGACUUUUUGCAUGUACCUUAUGAAUAAGGACCGGUUAAUUCCGUGCCAGCAGCCGCGGUAAUACGGAAGGUCCGGGCGUUAUCCGGAUUUAUUGGGUUUAAAGGGAGCGUAGGCCGGAGAUUAAGCGUGUUGUGAAAUGUAGACGCUCAACGUCUGCACUGCAGCGCGAACUGGUUUCCUUGAGUACGCACAAAGUGGGCGGAAUUCGUGGUGUAGCGGUGAAAUGCUUAGAUAUCACGAAGAACUCCGAUUGCGAAGGCAGCUCACUGGAGCGCAGCUGACGCUGAAGCUCGAAAGUGCGGGUAUCGAACAGGAUUAGAUACCCUGGUAGUCCGCACGGUAAACGAUGGAUGCCCGCUGUUGGUCUGAAUAGGUCAGCGGCCAAGCGAAAGCA